UACGGAGGAUCCAAGCGUUAUCCGGAUUCAUUGGGUUUAAAGGGUGCGUAGGCGGACUGAUAAGUCAGCGGUGAAAUCCCACGGCUCAACUGUGGAACUGCCGUUGAUACUGUUAGUCUUGAAUGCAGAUGAUGUGGGCGGAAUAUGACAUGUAGUGGUGAAAUACUUAGAUAUGUCAUAGAACACCGAUUGCGAAGGCAGCUCACAAAACUGUGAUUGACGCUGGCACGAAAGCGUGGGGAUCAAACAGG
rnacentral:rRNA from 1 species